GUUAAGACACCUAUUUUCCGAAAGAUAACUUUGUUAUACUUUAGCUCGACAAGAUAGUAGUGCUCAUUAAAGCGAGCAGAGAAAUGUUCGAUAACUUUUGCUCAGUACAACAUGAACUCAAGAGAAUUUUGCGAGUAUGAGUGGGAAAAGACAUGUUUUAAAUUUGCUAGAGA